rnacentral:lncRNA from 9 species
GUGACUUUGCUGAGCCUUCUGGGCUGUGGUUUAUGCAAGAACCUUCCAAGGACCCGGUUGAGUCACCGGCUGUGAUCAGGCAGCAUCUCCCCGCCUGCAGACCAAGAGCCAGGCAUGAGACGGCAGGAGCGCCGACCUGCAGGUCUGUCUGCAGCAGGACGCACGGCGGCUGACUCAGCGGAGACUUGCCCGGAACCUGGCUGCCAGGUUUCCCACUGCCAACGCUGAGCCGUCCCGAGGAGGAGCAGAGCAGAAGCCUCCAGCAAAGAAUAAAACAACAAGGCCUCUACCAUGCCGCCCCUUCUGCCACCAUCGAUUCCACCAGGACAAAGCUAAGAUGUCAUGAGUUCAGAGAGCUCGAAGUGUCGUCAGAAGGAGGCUGCACCCACAGCAGGCAGAAGUUCCUGGGCCAAGAAUCGAACCCACACCACAGCAGCGACCCUAGCCACUGUUGUGACAAUGCCGAAUCCCUAGCCUGCUGGACCACACGGGAACCCCCGAACUGAGAUUUCCUCAUUCAACGCCCUUCCUGUGACACGGCCUCGCUUAAGGAUGCUGUGUUUGUGUCUCUCAGCUCACUCACUAGAUCCUGGGAAGCGAGACUCCUUUCUAAUUUCCCCUCUGUUUCCCUGUCAGAGGGGCACGGCCAUGGCAAGGAGCUGAAGAAAGAGCCAGGAGGCAUAGCUGGCACUUACUGAGUGCUCUCUCAGGACCCUGCAUUGUUCCAAGUCUUUCUUAAGUAUGUGAACACCCCUAAGAGACGGGUGCCAUCGUGACGCCUUUUCACAGAUGCGGAGAGAGGACAUUCUCAGAAUGCCCCGGGGGAUACGUGCUCUUAAACUUUCAACAUGGUGAAGGCCUGGGAGGUGGUGGACCGCGACAAGAACGCUGGGAGUGUGACCAGCACAGGCCCGGAGGCGCCCAUGGCCUCAUCUCUCCGCGUCUGAGCUCCCGGUUUCAUGCUCAGCCAAGGAAUUCGAGCUUCACUUUUAGCGUCAGGGAGAAAACUAAAGAUUGGCUGUAUAAAAGCGUGCCAUUCUCUAAGAGGCUUGCCAUGUUUUCAAGACCUCUUGAGUCGUCGUGACUUCUGCCUCUUGACUUCGAUUCGACUCCGCAAGCAAUAAAACAGUAAAAGCACCUCAUUUCCUGCUCUCCAUGUACUGCAUUAAGGAGGUAUUUCUCCACCAGAGCUGCAGCUCCGAGGACCCUUCUGCCCGCCCGGCCGGGCUGCUCAGCUGGGUCCUCUCUCCAGACUUUCUUGAGGAAGCAGAGAAGCAUCUCAAACCCCAGCUUUUUGGUUCAUUUCUAUGCCAAACAUCUGGGGCUUGAAAAAGAACUGUGCAUGGAGAUAAAGUCACCACCGACUCUGUGGAAAGGAGCAUUAGGCAAAAAAGAAGUCGGACACAUUAAUUAAAAUGGAAGACUAAAUGAGCUGCAGAAAAGGUCGUGAGCCAGGGUCCCCGUGUGGGAUCCAUCCCCUUCGGUUAAUUCUCUCAUCCUUCGGGUUCUUGCUUUUGACCUGCUGAAUUUGCAGACUUAGGAAACAGGACAUACAUGCAAACAAGUUCCGGCAAGCAACAGCUCGCAAACAAGAUGUUGCAGUGAAGGCUCAGAGAGGUCGAGGGACUCACCCACAGCCACACAGCUCAGACGUGGCCAACAGGGCUGGAACUCAGUUUCCAGCCCAUCUCAUUCUCUUGCCCCACAGGGCCUCUCAGGGCACAAGUCACUGCCUGACAAUCCAGAUUUAUGUGGACAUGCCUUGCAUUUCUUCAGGGAGCCUCAGCCAGGCCUUCCCUCUUCUGUGAGGUCAGGGGUGUGGCACCUCUUGCAUGUGUGCCCAGGAGCUUACGGAGAAACGUGUCCGGCCACUUUCCCGAGGCUUGACAGAUUUUCCCACAAUGGCGUGAAUGGACAAGAAAAUGCAGCUUUGCUUGACGGCCCCACCCCAGUGCCCCUCUCCUGACUCACAAGCCACCUGGGGUGCCAGCCCAGGAGACCCGGGUCACUGCCACGCCUCGAUGAAAACCUGCUCCCCGUGAGCCUGGCUAACACCCCAGUUAUUCGGCAUUGCUGAGGGGUCACGGACAGUUUAGCUGUUAAAGGUCUGGGUGAUGGGCUGGGGUCAGGGACACGGGCAUGCUGGGCCUUAGGGACCACCAUCCUGAAACAGGGACCGUAAAUCCUGUGCUCACGGUUUGGGGGAGACUAACAGGAGGUGAUCUUCAAUGUGCCGUGUGGAUUCGGGGGACACAACGGUCGGUCCACAGCAGCUGUGUGACACCUGCAGAGCAGCAGUGGGCCUCGCAAGCCCAGGCUGCACAGGAUGAGGGCUGAUCCUGUGGCAACCCGUACUCCAUCCCCCGCACGCCACGCGGCUUGCCCGCAGUGUCCAAGGUCAGGGAAUCGGUCAUGACCGUGAUUCAGCAGGAAGCAGACAAGAGAGCAGAGCCAAAGGCCUGGUUCUCCUCUCAGCUCUGACACUAACACUACCGGAUUAAUAGCAUUUGUCGUCCAGACCCAGGGCGUCACACGCGAGGAGUCACAGGCAGGGAAAGAAAGCUGCGGUGCUGCAAUCAGUCCAGGCUGAGGCCAUGUUCGCGGGGGUGGAUCCAACAGUUUUACCAUCUGCUCUAAAAGGCCAGCACCUGCCAAGGGGAAACUCCUCCUCUCCAGGCCCUGCCUCCUGAGGUGCUGACAUCCCUAACCCCUUCGGACGUCAGAAGGUGGCCACUCCAGAGCUUAAGCGACUUCACGAGGCCUCAUGGUUAGAAACUUCCAGAGCUGGCAUUUGAUGCCAGGUCUGCUGGAUUCUAAAACACGCCCUCUUCUCACCUAAGACCUUACAGAGACCUGUCCCCAAGAAGCUGGACUUGGUCUGCCACUCACUGCUGUUAUAGAAGAAGGACGGAGAGGUGGUUGCCUGUGUGGGCCAUUGCACUGGGAGGGGACAGGGCACAGAAGCUGAGGACUCAGAAGGGAAGUUCUGUCAAGGUAGUGACCCGCCUGUUCAGUUGGAAGGUGCAAGCUUCAUUUUUGGUCUGUGCCCACUCUGCUUUGCGUCUGUUGCCAUGGUUACUUCUAGUAGGGGAUAAAGGAGUCUGGCCACUGUCCGGCUGCUGGGCUGUCCUGAGGUCAUUUUACACCCAGUGUUUUCUCUGUCUUUAUUUUUUUUUUAGCCACACACGUGGCUUAUGGAAGUCUCCAGGACCAGGGAUGAAAUCCGAGUUCAGCUGCAGCCUACACCACAACUGCAGCAAUGCUGGAUCCUUAACCCACGGCACCACAGUGGGAACUCCUACAUUUUCUCUAUCCUUGAAUCGCAGCAAACUUGAACCUUCAGAAUGGCAAUGUCAAGUGUAGACAACGCAUGCUGAACUCCUUCCUGACUUGGGCAAAUAAGGGGGAUCCGAUCAUUUCACAGCAAGGCGGCCUCUGGUCAGCUCUCAUUGAUACCAUUCUCUCAGGGAGGUUUCCUCUGCCAGCAAUGCCCGUCCCCUUUAUAGGAAAAGACUCAGCAGUGGGCUAUAAGGAAAACUCUGACUGAUCAUUAUGCAAAGAUGACUAUUUCUUCACGACACGCGUGUCCGGAGAGGAGACGGCAGCAGCCUCUCCUGGUGAGGCAGGAAGCAGGCCGCUGCAACCCUGCCUAAUUUCUGUCUGUCAUCUUUGAGGGUAGCUGGCUGGGGUAGGAUGGCCACAUCCGGGCAUAUGCCAUGAAUAGUCUUAGCUGCGGGCAUCGGACCGAGGAUGAGGGCGGUGCCUGUGUGCGCUGUUUGGGACUCAAAGUGUUUCUGCAUCUGUGCAUUUCAGGAGCCCACUAGAAACUUAUUUUCCCUGUGUUGCAAAGAAGAAGUCACGGGGUCUCCGGUAAGUGAGUGCAGCUGAUGCACGCCGCCCGCCUCGGCGCCAGCUCCUGCGCUCAUCGUUUCCAGUCCUAAGGACGACUCGGCACCUUGGCUAUUUAUUGCCAUCCCCAGCCUUACCCCUGAGGACGCCAAAGCAGAAGAAGGUGAGGAGGCAGCGGCACUGUGGCACUGGAACCCUAUCCACCUGCCGGGGUGUUUUCCUGUGUGGGCGGCGCUGAAGGCUGCACGGUCUCAGGGCUCUCGGGGGACAGGCUUCUGCCUCAGAGAAGCUGAGCAUCUUGGCCAAAGUGACAAAGCCAGCAGUGGACCUUGGUGGGACACCCGUCCUUAGGCUCUGGGGCAUUUUAUUUGCUGCCGAGAUGUCCCGAAAGAAUAGUUCCCUGGGAUGGGUCACAAAAAUCAAUUGAAUGGAAGAAAGUUGCUAAAAGGAAGGAGACGCGCCAGGAAAGUUUUUAUCCAAGGGAUUUGGGACAAAAACAACGGCCUCCAAGAAAAAAGUGGAUGAGGUCUUGUUUCCUAUGGGUCUGGGUACCAGGAAAAUAUUCACAUGGGUGCUUUAUUUACACCAGCAGCCGCCGCCUGCUGGGAACUUGUGGCUUAGAUAAGAGAAGAUUCAGGGCUUCUGAACCCUCCCGGGCUACACAGGUGCAUGUGGGAGGGAUUUAAACUCAAUUUUUCAUCACAAACACUCACUGAAUCAGGUUACUUUUUUUUUUUUUUCUUUUUAGGCUGCACCCAUGGCAUAUGGAGGUUCCCAGCCUAGGGGUCGAAUUGGAGUUGCACCUGCCGGCCUACACCACAGCCACAGUAACAUCAGAGCCGAGCUGCAUCUGCGACUUACACCACAGCUCAUGGCAACGCCAGACCCUUAACCCACUGAGCAAGAGGCCAGGGAUGGAACCCGCAACUUCACAGUUCCUAGUCAGAUUCAUUUCCACUGUACCAGGAUGGGAACUCCGAAUCAGGUUACUUUUAACUGGAAAAAUACUGCAUUCAUCUGGCAAUGCCUGCCUACAGUGAAUACAAAUACGCAGUGAGCAGUGAGAGCUGAAUCACCCAUUGACCUUGAAGGAAAAGACGGCCCCUCUGACUGCAAGCAGCAAAACCGACCUGGAGUGUCAGACUCAGAAGCGCAUUGUGAGAAAGGAGGUGUGGGAUCUGUAUACGGUUUAGCUAGUCACCCGGGGACACCCAGUUGAUUCCUCCUGUGCCAAAGACUCACAUCCAGAAUUAAAAAGGCUUUGUUCAGAAGU